GCUGUGGUGUCCGAGUGGUUAAGGAGUUGGACUCGAAAUCCAAUGGGCUAUGCCCGCACAGGUUCGAAUCCUGUCCACAGCG
rnacentral:tRNA from 2 species